rnacentral:rRNA from 1 species
UACGUAGGUGGCGAGCGUUGUCCGGAAUUACUGGGUGUAAAGCGCGUGUAGGCGGGAGGCCAAGUCUGUGGUGAAAUCGCUCGGCUUAACUGGGCGGGGUCCAUGGAAACUGGUCACCUGGAGGUCGGUAGAGGCAAGUGGAAUUCCCGGUGUAGUGGUGAAAUGCGUAGAGAUCGGGAGGAACACCAGUGGCGAAGGCGGGUCUCUGGACAGUUCCUGACGCUGAGGCACGAAGGUCAGGGGAGCAAACGGG